GGUGAACGCUGGCGGCGUGCUUAACACAUGCAAGUCGAACGGACGAAAUAAGCUUGCUUAUUUCGUUAGUGGCGCACGGGUGAGUAAUGUAUAGCUAACCUGCCCUUUAGUGGGGGACAACAGUUGGAAACGACUGCUAAUACCCCAUACUCCUUCUUAUCAUAAGGUAAGUCGGGAAAGAUUUAUUGCUAAAGGAUGGGGCUUUAUUGUAUCAGCUUGUUGGUGGGGUAAUGGCCUACCAAGGCGAUGACGCAUACCUGGUCUGAGAGGAUGAUCAGGCACACUGGAACUGAGACACGGUCCAGACUCCUACGGGAGGCAGCAGUGGGGAAUAUUGCACAAUGGGGGAAACCCUGAUGCAGCAACGCCGCGUGGAGGAUGACGCAUUUCGGUGUGUAAACUCCUUUUAUAAGGGAAGAUAAUGACGGUACCUUAUGAAUAAGCACCGGCUAACUCCGUGCCAGCCGCCGCAGUAA
rnacentral:rRNA from 1 species